GACGAACGCUGGCGGCGUGCCUAAUACAUGCAAGUCGAGCGCAGGAAAUCGACGGAACCCUUCGGGGGGAAGUCGAUGGAAUGAGCGGCGGACGGGUGAGUAACACGUAAAGAACCUGCCCUCAGGUCUGGGAUAACCACGAGAAAUCGGGGCUAAUACCGGAUGGGUCAUCGGACCGCAUGGUCCGAGGAUGAAAGGCGCUUCGGCGUCGCCUGGGGAUGGCUUUGCGGUGCAUUAGCUAGUUGGUGGGGUAAUGGCCCACCAAGGCGACGAUGCGUAGCGGACCUGAGAGGGUGACCGGCCACACUGGGACUGAGACACGGCCCAGACUCCUACGGGAGGCAGCAGUAGGGAAUCUUCCACAAUGGACGAAAGUCUGAUGGAGCAACGCCGCGUGAACGAUGAAGGCCUUCGGGUCGUAAAGUUCUGUUGUAAGGGAAGAACAAGUGCCGCAGGCAAUGGCGGCACCUUGACGGUACCUUGCGAGAAAGCCACGGCUAACUACGUGCCAGCCGCCGCCGUAACAC
rnacentral:rRNA from 1 species